AGGGUAUUUUUACGGUUUUAGUGACAGAUUAACAACAUUUCUACAUUAAUAACAGGAGAAACACCAUUGAAAACCCUGAUAAUCAUCUUUAUAGCUUUGAAAAACAGUCGUGAGGAGAGAGAGAGAGAGAGAGAGAGAGAGAGAGAGAGAGAGAGUAGGAGCAUUUCAGUUGAGCCUAUUCGGCCCUGGUUCGUGUUUGCUGCGGUGACACGGUGCCGCACUGAGUGAAGAUUGCGUUCAUAAUCACUUAUCGGGGGUGGAGUGGGGAAAGGAGAGUCAGGAAGUGAGGAUAUUUAUAUUAUUUGACAUAUUAUUUGAUAGCAUGUCAACUUUUGUGUGUGUGUGUGUGUGUGUGUGUGCGUGUGGGGGUGGGUGGGUGUUGGAUCAGUGACAGGUGGCGCUGGGGAGUUACCACGGCGAGCGGCUGGCUGGCUGCAGUGUUUUGGUCAGCACUGGUCAGUCUUGCCCUACACGCUCUAUUAACCAGUGUUUCCGUCUUCCCGACACCUUCUUCCUGCACCAAGCACCGUCAAGCAUCACCAGAGAGGCACGAGUACGUAAGCUAUCCAACAUCAGAACAGUAUAUGAAUAUGGCAAAUGCUGUUUUGACAUCAUUUCCUGCCAUCCUGAGAAACAGUGAUCUCGAGGAGCAUGAAUUGCAGCUGCAAUGGAAAUUGCUCAUCCAGCGCAAGUUUCAGAAUUCAAGAAAGAGGCAGGAUUCCUCAGUGACUGAGGUGACGUCAAGGAAAAAGAAGAUCCCUUGCAUAGCGCCAAAAGAGACUACGUGUCCACUGAUGUAUGGAGUAAAGGCUUACCUUCCACCAAGGCCCCAUUCAGAAGAUGAUGAGUCAUUAGAGAGACAUAGACAGUGGCUUGCUCUACAUUGGAUGAAGAAAGAUCCCGAGUUAGAUAAGAUAAUCAAGGAGUUCCUGAGAUUAGAACCACAAGCGGAUGAACCAGACCCAAUAGUAGCAGUUUUGAAAGGGCUGGAGAAAUAUAGGCUCCCAAUAAUUGCCAUUCUCAAAAAAAGAAAAGCAGUUCCUCUGUAUAUGGAAACCUUAUUUGAACUCUAUGACCACGAUGAAAGUCAAUGCGAGUAAUGUCUAUUUCAAUUUGUUCAUUUCAGUAGCUGGUAGCAAUUUAAUAUAUGUAUCUUUUCAUCAUUAGCAAUGCAUCUUUCACUUUUAUAAGCCUAGUAUUCAUGAAACUAUGCUGCAUGCAAAAACCAAACAUUGUAUUAAGCAUGACCUAUCUAACUGUAAUGCUUGCACCAAUUUCUAUAAAGGUACUAAUUUAAUUGUUAAAUUCCUGCUCUUCUAUCAAAUUUUACGCUGAGUGCUAUGGCUAAAUAAUUGUUUGCAGCAUAAGUGAUGUUAAAAAUUCUCUCUCUCUCUCUCUCUCUCUCUCUCUCUCUCUCUCUCUCUCUCUCUCUCUCUCUCUCUCUCUCUCUCUCUCUCUCUCUCUCUCGUAAGGAAAGACAUUAUUUCUAGUGUAAAUAAACCCAAUAGGCUGUCCAAUUUGAAAUUUAAAAUGUAAAUAUUAUCAAUCUUUUUAGAAAUGUUAGCUGCAUCCUCUUCCCUUGCAGUCCAGUAAGACAGGUCACUAAUUCGUGUGGAGAUAGAAUUCUUGGAGUCACCUUUGCCGGCACUAGCGCAAGUGCAAACAGUCUGAUAAAGGUUUCUUCCAUGGUUGUGAUGAAGUUCAGGACUUCUCACACUGUUUUGGUGGAUAUGAUGAGAAGAAUCGGGAGUUCGGAACAUCAGUGCGUUAUGUCAGGGCAUGUAGGUUCAGCUGGGGUUUUCUUUCUUUCUUUCUUUUUUUUUUUUUUUUUUCAAUCAGUACUCAUCAUAUUCUUACGAGGACUUGCUAGACAAAGCAUUAUUGCAUUAUGAUAUUACCCAAAUAGUGUCUCAAGUAAAAAACAUAACCGCAUACUCGUACAAAAGAUUUGCUGCUGUGACACAAAUGACAAAAAUCAUUAGUAUACUGGUCGUUCUGAGCAUUCAAUCAAAAUGCUUGUCAUUCAUAUAAUUAGUAGAACCAUCGAGGAGCUUUAUUUUUGUUAAUUCUUAUGUGAUAAAGCAAUAAUUACAGGAG